GCUCGCUCACUUGCCCAGAGCUUAGCGACAAGCUCAUAAUUAUUCAAAAGGUACUUUCUUCACUGUGAUGUGCACCACCCAUAUUUUAUGGAAUACCAAAACUAUAUAUUAAAAUAUUAAGACUAGAGGAGUCUGAGCAAAAUGUUUAUAUGACACUCUACUUUUAAAACUUUCCCGCAAGUCUAAAAUAAUUACAAAUUGAAAGACUUUAAAAAAUCCAAAUGACCAACAGGAUAAUCGAUUCCCUACAAGAGCGUCCUGAAGCAUGUUGUUCGGACUGUGUUGCUAGUAGGAUGUAGUUGAAGGGAGGAGUGGACUCAUUUUCAUCAGCCAACUACUACUGGUAGCAUGGUUCUGAGAUCCUCUAGGCCAAGGUCAUAAGAAGGGACAACUUGAAACUGCUCACAAAGACCUUUGUCAGAAUGGAGCAAAACAAGGAGCUAUCUCAUGCCACCUCAGACCUGGAGGUGAAGCGAGGGGGUAGAGGCAGAAAAUAAGAGGAUGCUGUGAAGAGGACGAAGAGGAAGUAAGAAAUAUCCCCGUUACCCACAUGGAUCAGGAGAAAGAUGUACACAUUUGUAUGAGUAACUUUUUAACACAGGGGGUAAAAAGCAAUACAUUAUACAAAUAAGGUUUCUUUUUUUUUCAAAGUCUCAUAAACAACAAUUACAGAGUUAUCUGAUGCAAAAAGAACACUUCUAAAGACUUUUAAAAUCAGGGAAAAGAUACUCAGUGCCCUCGGGAAUUUUGGUGAGGAUGUUUUGAGGUCAGGCGUAUUAACUCAAGGACCGCUUUCAAGGACUUGCAGGUCUCUAACUUACAGAAUAUUUUUAAUCUUUGGUCUUAAGACGAGAACAAAAGAGAUCUGCCCAGUUUAGAACCUCUUCAGGCAUGAGGAAGAAGGCCUUAGACUAACAGGUGAGAAAAUACCACAGUUCUGAUUGGUACAGAGACAGGAGACUGCCUCUAGUAAAGGCUCCAUGAGAGAGCAGAGGGAGCAGCUAGGUGGUAGAGUUAGGGUCUGCUCUGACUUGUGGAGCUCCUGUGAGAUUUCCUUCAUGAGCAGCUGCAGGAACCAGGUAGCAACUCCUACAGGAGAGAACGCCUAGAGCCACGAGGGAACUCUUAGAUUAAAAACAAACAAACAAACAAACAAACAAACAAACGAAAAAGACAAAAUUAAAGCCAGCAAGAUGGCUGGCUGCGUAAAUAAAGGUAUUUGUGCCAAUCCAGACAAGCUGAGUUGGAUCCCCAGAAGUCACAGGGUAGCACGAGAAACCAACUCCUGAAAGUUGUUCUAAGUCCACACACACAUGUUGUGUCACACACAUACCUCAGUAUUCUAAACCCUAAUUCAGAGACAAUGAUGACAUGUGACAUAUGAUUUUACAUCCAACAAUACAUGGCUAAUUAGGGAUCAUCCCCCAUGUUACUUUUUCAAUAAGACAAUGAAGGUAAAUUAUCCAAGAAUAAAGCACAGCCCCGAAGCAGAAUCAAAACACGGUCAAUGAGCCAAGCGUGGUGGCGCACACAUGCAAUCCUGGCAUUUGAUGGAUGGAGGCAGGAGAGCCGGAGUCCAAGGUCACCCUCUACUACAUAGUGAAUUUAAGGCAAACCUAGGCUAUGUAAGACCCUAUCUCCAAAGAAACCAAAAGCAAGCAAACAGAAACAACUUUCAUUGCUCCUUCAAAGCUGUAUUUUCAAGGCUGUGCCCACUUACAUCUUAUUAGUGGUGUCGUUGCAUGGAGGAAGAAUUAAGUAAAGAAUGUUUUUAAAUACCAAUUAUUCUCCUGAACGCAAAGAAAACAUUAAAGCCCGGCACACUGCAUUGAACAUGACAGCUUCUAAGUCCGACGUGGAGUUCUACCCGACUUACCCCAGCAGCCUCAUAGACUACAGGCCAUACCGUCCAAGGUUUCUUCCAUUUACAUUCAAGUAGAAUAAUUUAUUAAGACACCAAUAGGUCUUUCUACUCAAAACCAGGAUUUGCUAAGAAAAAAAUUAAUUUGCCUCCAUAUUCAUCAAAAGCAAAAGCAGUCAUUAAGGUCUGAAACAUAACAGUCGCUCUCCGACUCUACGAACGGCUAGUGAGGAGGACCAUGAAGACGAGCCAAGGCUAGCACAGCACAGCUCAUUUCUAGACGAGCCAAGGCUAGCACAGCACAGCCAUUUCUAGGUUCAGAGAAGAAAGCCACAUAAUUUAAGACAAACACCUGGAGAAGGGGGAAGGAGCAGUAUUUUGUUUUUACCUCAAAAAAAAAAAAAAAGUAGGCAGACAUGCAGCAAAUCACAUGGCUGGGAUACUCAAUUAUCUGAACACACUAAUUAAGUAAGUGUAAUCAGCCGGCUUUCAGUCCUCUCCUUGCCUGGCGCACAUUUCUAGAGCACUGCUUUCCUCUUCCCUCGCUCCUCACAGCGGGCUGGCUACAUGGUGCAGCAGAGGGAAACAAACACGAACAGAUCUUUUUGCUGAUGGCAGGAGUUUCUUCUCACGCUCACUCGGGGCAAAGGAACCCACACCAUGGUGAAGGCAGCACCGGCUGUAGAUUUUAAUUACCCUCCUCAGCAAUUUUGCAGAGGAGACUUAAAGUUCAAUUAGGUAAUACGACGCUCGGUUAGGGUGUUUUCAUAAAACCGGGCACAGGCUUUCAAGUAGUAAAUAUGCAGCCGUGACAGGAUUAAAUAUUCAUGAAAUCAAGAUCGACUGGAAGGCUGGGGAUAUCAGACUAUUAAAAUUCAUAUAGUUUUCACAAUGUAAAUCUUGUAUCCACUUGUAAGGUGCCCCGUUCUGGUCUGGUUUGGAGUGUGUUCAGAUACCAACUCCUGUGUAGCUUACCAUUUAAAUAACAAUAUUGAUUUUUGUAGACAAACAACAACCCCGAUUCUUACCUCUGGUUUCAAAAUGCAGGAACAAUUUUAAGCAUCUGCAAAUCCAAACUUAAGGAUCCGUCUGCUGACUGAGAACAGCAACACUACAUGUGAGCCCAGCAUGCACCAGCUAUGUGUUUAAUCUACUGGUGUCUUAGCAAAGGUCCAAAGAAAAUCAAGGUGUUCCCAAGGAGGAGCAUUACGGAAGAUGUGGCUGCUUCCACCUAACAGAAGUGCCUGUCUGCCUGGACGCUUCCUUGAGACAACGUGGGAAUAAAGUACAUUGACUCUUCUUGGGUUCCAAUAUUCUGAUUUGCUGAACCAACUUUCCCCCAAUAUUAUCAGUUGCUUUCAAAAUGCUUUAACAAACACGUGCGCGCUUGAUACCUAUGGAACUAAACAACUAGCUUUCACCGAACUCAACUCAGGAGCGUGGGCAGAGGCAGAAGCUCAGACACAGAACUCUCUGGAUACUGCCGAAGCAUCGUCUUCAGUGCCAUUUCCCCUACUGUACAAUUUUCUCAGCAGAGGAAACAUCAGCACCAGAGAAUGACAUCUCAACCAUUUCUUACUCGAAUUCAAUUACCUAAAGAACUCCACACAGUCAGGCGCAGGUCUCCCCUGGUCUACAAUGACACAGCAGGGCUGCAAAGGACUCCCAGGGUUCAUCUGCCGCCAGGCACUGGGUCCCUGCCCUCCUAGAGAGGAGGGUGCCCGCUGAGAAGGACCACCUCCAGCCUCGAGCUCCGGGAAGCAAGGCUGUCCAAUCUGAAACAAGCCAAACUUUGCUCCCAUCAGUAGGUGCAUGUCACCUCCCCUCCAAGAGUCUAGGAAGCCACUUGCCAGGUCUUAAGGCACCCUUCCCUUAGACCCACAGCAUCUAAAGGCGAGUCUCAGCACUGCCCCGCCCGCGGCUUCAGCCCUGCCCUCAGCCUCCUCGCAUCGCGUGUACCACGACUUCCCCUGCACACAUCACUGAACACCGAAACCAGAGCAGACUUCUUUCUGCACACGCCUUCCAGUUGAGAAACUCACUACCGGCGUGGAUUCCUUUAAAUCCCACGCCUUCUCCAAUCUGCCACCCCACCCCCCACACAAACGAGGUAAGGGGGUUGGGAACGGAGGGGUUAAAGAGACGGCCACUACUAGUCCUCCUCCGUCUGGUUCAAAAGAUGUCACGGCGGCCACACCGCGGACCUUACCUUGCUCUCCCCCCUCUCGCCAUUGGGUCUCGCCUCCGGAUCGUCGCUGUCCUCAGCACCCGCACUCUCGCCGGGCACUUCAUCCUGAGCCAGCUGCUGCUGGGGCUGCGGCUGGGGCUGGGGCGGUUGUGGCGGCGCCUGGCAGGCUCCGCCAGCCCCCUGGGAGCGGGGGAUGGGCUCCGGGCGCGGAGAAACUCCCUCCACAUCCAUCUCCAUCUUCCCAUUCACUGGAGGGCAAGACAAAAGCGGAGCGGAGACUUGGCAGCGGCGCCCGGCGGCUCCUCAGCGGCCCGUGGCACGCAUGGCUCGCCGAGGAGGGGCCGCCUCGCGCGCGCCCUCCCUCCUGCCACCCUUCGCCCGCACUCCCCGCGGCUCGGCUCCGGCGCUGCGGGGCGUCUGGGCCCGGGAGCCCGUGAGGAGCGGGUGGCCGCGUGUCCUUGGAGCGCUGGCCUUCAGGCGCCCCCCGGCAGUCCCGCUACACGGAGCGCAUCCUGGCGGUGGCAGGGCGCCUCCCAGCCGCGCGCCCCAACCAGCCCUGGGGACAGCCCCAGGGACUUGUUCUCCUUAUCCUCGAUCCCAGAUCCGAGAUCCUCGAUCAGCCGGCGUCUCCCGCCCCACCCCCUUGGGUGUUUCACCUCCCUUCCAACCUUUUGAACAAAGUUACUGGAAGAACAAACCAGAUGGGCCGGGUUUGCCUGGCAGCACUGACAGGGAUAGGGAAUGUCAGGUGUGAGAGAGAUCUCACACCCCCAGCCCGCUGACCAAGCAGCAACCCUAUCUGUCGCCCCCUUCCCAGCGCAGAGGAACCAAAGAAAGGAGGGUGUUCCAACCUAUGCACAAGGAUAUCAGGGAACACUAGGAAAGGGGUAAGGAGAGGGCUGGUGGCUGAAGGGACCACUCCAAUCCCAGGUAACUACCGCCUCCUGACCCUGGUUCGCCCUCCUCUAGCCACCAAGAGUGUCUCCCUGAGUGCCUGCAUGUGUCUCCCAGAGUCCAGUAUCCCGUGUCUGCCCUGAUGCUGAUGGCUCUGGACAGGAGCGCAGCCCUCUACUAGAGACCUAGAGCACAGAAGCAGCCGGGAUCAAAUUCCAGGCAGGAAACAGACCUUACAAGACCGUCCUUGUCUUGGGCACAUCACAGGUUAAAACUGGGCAGGGAUGGGGCUCAUCCUGACCAGUCUCGUAGUGCUGAGUUUGGCACCAAGGUUUGCCUUGGAGGGUCAAUGAAGGAGGAAGGGAAGUGGGGUGUAUAUAGCUGCCAGGCUUUUACUGCAAUGUGCCCUGGGGUGGGCGGGCGCCAGCUGGGCGCCUGCUCUCCCAAGUGGCCAGUUCUCUCAAGCAAGCUGGGCAUAUUUUAUAAGAGGUGAGUUAGGGGCAGGCAGUGAAGUGCUCUGUAAAUACAGAGUUGGCAAGAAUGCACCUGGACAGUCUUAAAUUGGACUCCCUGUCAGUCAGGCUUAUCAAUUCGGUGCUGUUCACAUAGAACUUAAGAGUUGCUGGGAUAGUGUCAGUGGUUCUGAGCCCCGAAGUGCCAAAAACUCAUAGGUUGAGCCAAUAGACUUGGCUUCUAUUUCCAAGUCCUAAGAACUGGAGGUGCUCAGGUGGGGAGGCCUGCUUCCCUGGGCUUUCAUUCCAGUGGAUUGACCCUGGGCAUCGAGUAUUUACCCUUGGCAUGUUGGAGCUCACCCACCUUGGGUGUGGGAAGGGUCUGGGAGCACCUGCAGCUAGGGGUAAGACUCCAGAGUAGAUUCCAGACCCUUGCCUUCAGAGAGCGGAAGCUCCUGGAGCUGUUCCAGCAAGUGGCCACAUCCCUGUCUUCAGCUCUCUGGAGGUCUCUGCAUGUGGCUACCCACCGUCCUCUCUGCUUCUCUCACGCCAAACUCAGCAGCUGCCUUGUAACAGAGGAGGACAGGCUGCCCCUGACUAUUGCUGUCUCCUCUGGAAGCUACUGACAAGACUCACUUCCAAUCAUGAUAAAGAUCACAGGCCUCCCUGCAUACUUGAAAUCUUCCUGAAUGAAGAGCAGAGCCAUGUUUCAUAGUUUGGGUGAUUGAGAAAGAAGCAUGAAUUCUUCUAAAAUCAAGAGACACUAGCCUAAGAGCAAUGCAUCCUGAAUAAGGAGCCCCCCGCAAACAUGUGACAGGUUUGGUCACCUGUGCCCUUCUCCUUGAGACUGGAAACCCCAGUCUCUCUCUGCUGGGACUACCACAGUCUUGAGAUACAGGCCAACAAGGACAAGUUUGUGUCUAUGUAAAGAAACAUCUAGCAAAACCUCAAUAAUUUGAAAUAAAUUUGCACUAAGUUAUGGAGCCCAGUGGUUUUAGGGAAUAUCAGAAAUCAUUAAUGACUGUCUUUGAAGUGCACAUGUACAUAAACCAACAAGCUGAUCUUUUCAGUUUUUAAGACAGAGUCUCUCUGUGACUCAUUUAGAAUUUGGUAUGUAGGUUCAUUAGCUUCAAACUUCCAGUCCUCCUGCCUCGGCCUCCCACGAACGCGUGCACACGUGUGUAUACGUCAGAAGUUGGUAAAUGGUUUUCCUCUCUCUGUUUUAAGCAUCUAUUAAUGACCUUGGAACCCAGAACUUGUCGCUUGACAUUUUGGCUACACUGUCUGGACAGCAAGGCCCCAGUUCAGCCUAUGUCUGCCCUCUAACUCACACCCUCACUGGAAUUAUAUACUGUGCCACCAUGCCUGGCUUUUAUUUAGGGGUCCAAACUCGGGUCCUCAUGUUUGGGUAGGAAGUACUUUCCCUGCCUCUGAAUUGCUGAUGCAGGGACUUUCUGGUACAGCAGGUCUCGUGACUAAUGCAUACAAAAGUCACCUAGAGAACGCUACAACUCUGCAGGGCCGGGAUUGAGCAUCCACAGGCCAUCUACAUCCAUGUGGCCCCUGUGCUUGUUGUGUUCCAACCUUAAGGACUUACAUCGAGAAGCAGUUUUCACACCCACACCACAGGGAAACCUUUACAGGCUUCAGUUCAUAAAGACUGAAAACUCAGACGAAAGCUCAGGCUGUUUGGAGGUGCAAUGGAAGCAAAGGUAGGUAGGGGAUGGGGCUGUUUUGUUUGUUUUUAGACCAGAGUUUUAUGUAGCCCAGGCUAGCCUCAAACUCUCCCAAGUGCCUGUAUUAUAAAGGUACAAUUCCACAUGUGGUACAUGGGCGGUGUUUAAGCCUUUAGGUGGUAACCAGGCACACUCACAACUUAGAAUUGUGCCUUCAUGGACUAGAAAUAGCAGCUGGGGCCUUCUUAGCUGUGCUAAGCUCCCCUCUAUCAGAAACUAAAGAGGACAGAGUGCUGCACUGUGCCCUGUCACAGGGCAACGUUGUGAUGCACCUUCCGGAUUCAGGGCCAUUACUGUGAUUAAACGAUCUCUAUGGCUUCGUGUUAGAGACAUUGGGAAGGUGUCAAAAAAAUACUGUUUUUUUCCCCAUUAAUCAGUGAAAUAAAAAUCUGAGGGCAAAAUGGAACCUGGUGAUGUUAAAAGUUUCCCCGGGUAAUUCUAGUUGUGCGGACAGAGAUGAGCAGCAUCUCUAUAGACUGAAUUGUUAUGUAUGCAAAUUGUGUUUCCAUGGAGCGGCCAUUUCUCCAGAGUCUUUUUUUUUUUCUUUUUUCCUAAUUCUUCCUUAAUCUGAAGAGAUGGAAUGACUGGGAAGGUAAAUGAGAGCGACUUCCAGCCCAAUUAGCACAGGUGCAAAUUAGCCUGCUCACAGUGUUUUCUGGCAGGUCACCCCUUUCUUUCCCACCCCCUUUGCUUUCUGGUGACGUGACAGUGACAGCACUUUCUCCUUGCUGCAGUAAGACUUUGAUGUGACAAGUCCCAGCUGAGGUGGACCAGCCUGUGGGGACUCAGGACUCUCUGCGUAGGUUUCUGAACUACCACAGAGGAUGUCCCUGUGGGUGAGAGGUUUAAGAGAACCUUGCUGCCCAAACUGUGGUUCACAGAUCUGGGGCAUCAACAGCACCAAGGAAUCAGGGACAAGCGCUGUAGCAUCCCUGGGCCUUGGGAUCCUCCCUGCAGCAUCCUUCAAAUCAGCACCUGCAGUUCAAGGGUCCCUGGUAGCCAGCCAGCCUGCAAGCCUUCAGAAGCUCAACUGCAGCAGGCAAAUGUAAGACGCAGAGAACCGUUACCCACCAACCUGAUCCUACCCCAUCCAGAAUCCUCACAACUCUGUAAUACAAAGAACACUUUAAUACAUAUACAUUAUAUACAUACAUAUUAUAUUAAACAAUAUUAUACACACAUAUAUUUAUAUAUUGUUUAGAUAAUAUUUGUUUAUAAUAUAUAAACAAUAUAUAAAAAUUGUUUUAAAUGUAAGUAUAUAAAAUUGCUUUAAAUAUAUACACAUAUAAACAGUAUGUAUAGUUUACAUAUACUAUAUAUAUGUUUAUGGUAUAUAUUGUUUUUAGUUUCUGACACGUAUUCAUUGUGUGCUGAGCACUUGGCCUGGCCCCAGGGUCCCUUUCUUCGCCCCUCCUUUCAUUGAUCCACCCCUGUUCCCUUACUUCACUUCACUUGUGCUCUUAAUCUAUAUAAUCAUGAUUAUUUAUGACUGUAUAAAAUCCAGGGACUAGAAAUGCGGGUAAACAUACAAAAUCUGUCUUUCGGUUCUGAGACUGGUUUAAUUCGUUUAAUCUGAUUGUCUCCGUUGUGUUCAUUUUCCACAAAGGAUAUAACUGUGUGAAAACUUCCAUUGAGUGUAUACACAUUUUCCUUACGUAUUCGGUGAUGCUGGGCACUAAGUUGGUUCCACCUUAGCUACAGGGACAAGUGCUGCAGUAAACUCGGGUGUGCAGGUGUCUCUGUAGUCUGAUGAUAUGGAGUUCUUCAGGACCCUCUAGAACUCACUCCUGUGGACGAUGCUCCUGUUGACAAGAAAAUCCUAUCAACAUUGCUCAUUCCAUCUGAGGUUAGCAUCACUGUCCACUGGAACUUUCUUUGAUGAUAGAAAUGCUCUUUGUGAGUUUCAGUAGGGAGCCUCCUUCCCAAAUGUGGCUGUGAGUACAUGAGUUAUGGCUAGUGUGACUCAGAAACUGGAUUUUAAUUUGAUUUCUUUCUAAUUGAUUUACACUUAAGUAGCUUCAUAUGGUCAGUGGCUCCAGUGUGUUGGACAACACAGUUCCGACGUGACCAUCCUUCCUCCUGCUGAGCCUCUCCCAUGUUGUCCCCAGGUUGAACACUUGCCCGUCCUACCCUGCUUUGUAUGUAUUAAUCCCUGCUGAAUUCACCAAGAUGAAAAACAUCUGCUUUGCCACCUAAUUUGCAUAAUAAGUAACAUUAUGCUUAUUAUUUUGAAUGAGAAGAGUGUAACUUGAAUUAAAUGCCACCAAAAAGUUGUCAAAACCUCUUUCAUAGCAUUCAUAACUGUGUGGCUUUGAUUUUGCAGCCUUUCAAACGUCAGCAGGCAUGGGGCACAUUAACUGCUUUAAGGACAAAAGACUGCAGAAUGGAUUCAGGGUAGAGGAGACAUCAAGACGCCCGCGAGCCGAGGCAUCUCGGUGCACAGGGGGAAAUGUGUGUGUUGGGAGUAAACACCAGGUCAUGAGGAUCACCCUCCACAUGGAGGGUGAAACACACAAUGAGAGAGGCCAUCAAGCCAGAGAACACUGAAUAAAAGCUCAAGCAGAACUGAACUCAA